rnacentral:rRNA from 1 species
CCUUUGUACACACCGCCCGUCGCUACUACCGAUUGAAUGGCUUAGUGAGGUCUUCGGAUUGGCCCAGAGAGGUGGGCAACUACCACUCAGGGCCGGAAAGCUCUCCAAACUCGGUCAUUUAGAGG